UACGUAGGGAGCGAGCGUUGUCCGGAUUUAUUGGGCGUAAAGAGCGCGUAGGCGGCUUGGUAAGCCGGAUGUGAAACCCCCGAGCUCAACUCGGGGCGGCCAUUCGGAACUGCUAUGGCUAGAGUCUGGUAGGGGAACACGGAAUACCUGGUGUAGCGGUGAAAUGCUUAGAUAUCAGGUGGAACACCAGUGGCGAAGGCGGUGUUCUGGGCCAGUACUGACGCUGAGGCGCGAAAGCGUGGGGAGCGAACAGG
rnacentral:rRNA from 1 species